rnacentral:RNase_P_RNA from 1 species
GGAGAGGACCGAGUGGUCGCUGCGUGGAGGGGUCUUUGGGCCCAGGCCGAAACGAACCAGCCGCGUGGAGGAAAGUCCGGGCUCCGCAGGACACGGUGGUGGGUAACGCCCACCGUCCGCAAGGAUAGGGAAAGUGCCACAGAGAGUAGACCGCCGAUCGGGGACCCUCCGGGGUCCCAGGAGGCAAGGGUGAAACGGUGCGGUAAGAGCGCACCAGCAGGUCGGGAGACCGGCCUGGCUCGGUAAACCCCACCGGGAGCAAGAUCAAACAGGGGGCCUUGUCGGGCUGGUCCGGCCCGCCGUGACCCCCGGGUCGAUCGCUUGAGGCGACGGGCAACCGCCGUCCCAGAGAAAUGACCACUCUCGACAGAACCCGGCUUACAGGCCCUUCUCCGCUC